rnacentral:rRNA from 1 species
ACUCCUACGGGAGGCAGCAGUGGGGAAUAUUGGACAAUGGGGGCAACCCUGAUCCAGCCAUGCCGCGUGAGUGAUGAAGGCCUUAGGGUUGUAAAGCUCUUUCAGCGAGGAGGAUAAUGACGUUACUCGCAGAAGAACGCCCCGGCUAACUUCGUGCCAGCAGCCGCGGUAAUACGAAGGGGCUAGCGUUGUUCGGAAUCACUGGGCGUAAAGCGCACGUAGGCGGAUUGAUAGUAGGGUGAAUCCGGGCUCAACCUCGGAACUGCCUUUGAUACUGUCAGUCUUGAGUCCGAGAGAGGUGAGUGGAACUCCGAGUGUAGAGGUGAAAUUCGUAGAUAUUCGGAAGAACACCAGUGGCGAAGGCGGCUCACUGGCUCGGUACUGACGCUGAGGUGCGAAAGCGUGGGAGCAAACAGGA